rnacentral:lncRNA from 1 species
GCUAGGGAAGUUUGUGAAAGAUUUAGAAGCCAAGACGGCGUUUGCUGGGUUCAGCUGAGCAUGCUCUAGAAGCUCCUUCUGGGCAGGAAGGAAGAGAGUGUGUUGGGCCAGUUCUCCUUCAAGGAACUUCUUCUUGCUACUGGUCUUCCCUCUUAGGAACCCAUAAAGUCGGGCACUGUGGGUAAUUAUAGGCUUAAAGAGGCCCAGGGCUGGGAGUCUGAAGAUAUGUGGGGAGUGUGCUGUGGACAGGAGCCAGAGUGCUGGCCUAGCUGCAAGUGAGGGAAUGGGACACCCAGACACCCAAGGUCCCCAUAACGUGUCCCAGAGCAGGUCCAUUUACAGGCAUCUAAGGAUGGAGCUCAAUGUUGCCACAAGCCAGUCACCAAUACUCUGGUCCUAGUUUUUUUUUCUCAGGGUUUGUUUCUGUGGUUGCUGAGGUAGGUUCUUGGUACAGUGGAUGCUUUCUUUUGGAGUUCUUGGUCUCAGUGGGUUCUGCAUGGUGAAGAAAGCUAUGUUCUUCCAAGGCAGAAGUGCUUCCCAGGCAUUUUGAAUAGGCUGCCUGGGGUUUCCUUCUUGUCAUGUCCUCUACCUUCUUCACUUAAACCCAUUUGAGAAAGACAAUCCAUGUGGCUUGAAAACUUCAUGAACAACGGAGACUAGAGCUGGAAAGAUUUGUAUUUGAAUUCUCCUCUUCCCACCCUCUGUAUCUCUCCUGGAAAAAGUUCCUUUUGCUCAGGAAGCCUCAGUUUUCUCAUCUCUGCAAUGGGAUGACAACACCCAUUGCAGGUUAGUUGGGAGCACCAGACUUAAUGGAUAGGUGUUAAUACGUAACAGCCAUGAAGUCAGUAUUUUGACUAUGCCAUUCCUCCUUACCCUUGUUUUAAAGAUGUACAAAGACAUACAAAGCCUUCCCAGGGCUACUUCCCACACUCCGUUUAUGGGAUAGAUGAUCUUAAAGAAGAUGGAAACAAGACCCAGACAGACGGAGGGUCUUGUGAAAGCCGCUCUGGCUAAUUAAGCUCUGUUUGUAGUUCUUUGGCAAAGCACAAUCAUUUGUUAGCUCUAAUUAAAAGAAACUAUAAAAACAACAUAGAACCCAACUGAAUGUUUGGAAGACAGAGGGUGGGGGAUCAACCCUGUCUCAUGAGGUUGGCAGCCUAGCAGUGCAGCAAGGACCCAGCUCAUCCAUGCUGGUCUGGACCACAGUGCCACAGUGCCACAGUGCCCUGUUCCCCAUUCCAGAUGAACCAUUAUCCCGUUAAUGGUUUCCUGUGAUGUCAUCAAACUGCCACUGAGUUUUGCUUUCAUUUUCCCCCAGCUUAAGGUUCUGGUAGACACCUCUUUAUGAACACAGAAUAUGUCUCCUUUUUUGUUUCAUUUGCUUCAGAUAAAUUCACAGAAGCAGAGUUGGUGGGUCUUGGGGAAAGGAACACUUUUUGUGGUCCAUGAUACAUAUUUUCCAAUUUACCUUCCAUAAAGGCUCUUGUUUACUUUGCUUCUAGCAAAGCUUAUCUGUCUAGAAAUUUCCACACCACCUUACGAGCCUUGAGUAUUACUGUUUGUUGUUUAGCUUGCUACGUAGGUUGUGAUUUCUUUUUAAUUUAACUCACUUUCCUUUUUGUUAGUUCAAAUGUACACAUAUAUCUGUGCAUAUGUAUCUGUGUCACAUGUGUUCCAGUGAGUUCACACUCCGAUUGGAAUAGUAUCGGGUAUUUUCUGGGUGGUAUUGGUAAGGCAAGUCUUUUGUUACAAUGUGCAAAAAGUACCAUGGCUAUGUGUCUGCAAAAGGCAUGUGCACUGUCUGCCCUGCCAGACAGUAAUAAUUGUCGUCCUAAAGCAGGGCUGCCUCCAAAGCUGAAGUAAACAAAUGAUUUUACAGCACACAAUGGGAGUCCAGACUGACCCUGGUGAAUGAAGUUGCUAAUACGGCUUCCUGGGAUGGAUGUCAGCCAAGGGCUUCCCCGGGCGGGCAGGCAACUUAACAGUAGGUCCUGGUGACAGCUGUAAAUAUGGGACAGAUAAGCCAAAGGAUGAGGCAGGGGCUGGGCCAUGGUGUGUGGGUGUCUGCAUUGGGAUGUGGGUGUGGAGUGAAGCCUAGAGCAGCCACACACCUCAGGGAAGGGGGCUUGGCAUGGCUCAGGCAAGAACACUGAGGGCAUCUGAGGUGGGGAUGUGUGUUGAGAAUUUUUCAAACCCCAGCAGAGACCCAGAACACCUCUGGUGGAUCUGACACAGUGUCCAAGUGUUGGGAACAGGCAGACCCAGGUUCCCAACUUGGCUUUGGCUGCUGAGAUUAGUGGAAGCUGUCCUUGUGGGCUAAAGGUUAGCUGGGAGCCUGGGCAUGUUCUGUUCUCUUUUGCUUUGACCUCACUGGCCUCUCCAGGCCGGAAUCCUUGUGCCUUUAGUCUGCCCUGUGCGACUCCCUGCUUGUGCUCAGAAGGCCCCUUCGAAGGCCUUUCUGCCUCUUUCCUCUCAGGCUGACCUUGAGGUGAGCUUCUUGAAGGCUGCUCUGAUUCCUGGUAACACAGCUCCUGGAACACGCGUGUAUCUGUAUUCUGGAUAAGCAACAAGGAAAAUCUGCUGGUGGCCUCUCUUCUUGUGACAUUGAAGGUAUCAAGGUAUCUGUUAUUAGAGAAUACACCCCUUGCUUGGACUUAAAAAGGGGGCGCCACAGUACUUUCUCAUGCUUGAAGUACUAUGCUAACCUCUCCUCCUCCUCCUGG